rnacentral:rRNA from 1 species
UACGUAGGGUGCAAGCGUUAAUCGGAAUUACUGGGCGUAAAGCGUGCGCAGGCGGUUAUAUAAGUCAGAUGUGAAAUCCCCGGGAUCAACCUGGGAAAUGGAUUUGAGACUGUAUAACUAGAGGACGGGAGGGGGGGAUGGAAUUUCGCGUGUAGCAGUGAAAUGCGUAGAUAUGCGGAGGAACACCGAUGGCGAAGGCAAUCCCCUGGACCUGUACUGACGCUCAUGCACGAAAGCGUGGGGAGCAAACAGGAUUAGAUGCCCUGGUAGUCCACGCCCUAAACGAUGUCAACUGGUUUUUGGGUCUUAACUGACUCAGUAACGAAGCUAACGCGUGAAGUUGACCGCCUGGGGAGUACGGCCGCAAGGUUG